rnacentral:lncRNA from 1 species
GUUUAAAAUAUAAUGUAUUUCUCCUCUUUUUGAGUAAAAAAUUCUAAGUUGUCAAAGGUUUUGUAUAGUAGCACUGUACAAAUCCUUAGUAUUUCUAUUUUCUUUUCUACAACAGUUAACAUGGUAAAAUGACCCCUUCAAGGCCCUUGUCUGAGGGAGGGUUGAUCCCAACCUGAUAAUAACAAACAUAGGUCAAAGUACGGCAUUUUACACAGAGCUUUGAUCAAGACAAACCAGCAAGCUAUAAGGG